CCAAAGGAAUGUGAGGGCAAGAGGGGGGAGUCCAAUUAAAUAGGCAGAGCAGGUUUCCAGAGCAUUUGGGAUGGCAGUGAAUGAAUGGUCCUGGGAGGUUAUCAGGUGAGGAAUUCCAGCUGCUUUCCAGAGGAUUCCAUGUGAAGAUUAGAUAAAGAAGGAGAAAAGCAGACCCCAACAUCUGUGAGCUGGCCUCAGAGUGAAAGCAGGGCUUUGGUGUUGUUAGGUGCUGGCCUAGCAUUUGCAAUGCUCUUAUUUUACGGAGGACAGAAUUGAGACCCAGAGAGCUUAAGGCAUUCACCUGAGAUCACACAGCUAGUGAACAGCAGGGCUUGGAGAGAAUGCCAAGUUGCUGACAUCCAACCCAAUACCUUUUCCAGCAUCCUAUCAUACCUAAGAAAGGGAAGGAGGGAAGAGAAUCAGCACUUAUUGAGCAUCUACUGUUC